rnacentral:rRNA from 1 species
GCUUGUCUCAAAGAUUAAGCCAUGCAUGUCUAAGUAUAAACGACUUUAUACUGUGAAACUGCGAAUGGCUCAUUAUAUCAGUUAUAGUUUAUUUGAUGGUCCUUGCUACUUGGAUAACCGUAGUAAUUCUAGAGCUAAUACAUGCAUUAAACCCCGACUUCUGGAAGGGUCGUAUAUAUUAGAUAAAAGGCCGACCGAGCUUUGCUCGACCCGCGGUGAAUCAUGAUAUCUUCACGAAUCGCACGGCCUUGUGCCGGCGAUGUUUCAUUCAAAUUUCUGCCCUAUCAACUUUCGAUGGUAGGA